CCUGCUCACCUUUGAAGUCCUGCUGGUUCACAGACUGGAUGGCCGCAAUACAUUCUCCUGUAUCUCCAUAUCUGUCCCCCUUUGGCUUUUGUUACUAACUUUAAUGACCACAACAUUUAGGCCAAAAAGGGGCAAUCAUUGGUGGUUUGGUAUUCGCAGAGACUUCUGCCAGUUUCUGCUUGAAAUUUUCCCAUUUUUAAGAGAAUAUGGGAACAUUUCAUAUGAUCUCCAUCAGGAAGAUAGCGAAGGUGCUGAAGAAACAUUGGUUCCAGAAGCUCCGAAAAUUGCUCCAGUGUUUGGGAAGACCAGGUAGUUUUAAUCCCUGGGAAAUAUGUUCCCCCACCUCCCAAGUUAAAUAUUGAUAUGCCAG
rnacentral:lncRNA from 1 species